UCUCUCGUGGCGCAAUUGGCUAGCGCGUUCGACUGUUAUCCUCUACGGUGCAAUCGAGAGGUUGGUGGUUCGAGCCCACCCGAGAGAG
rnacentral:tRNA from 1 species